AUGUGUGUACCCAAGAACCAAGGAGGAAUGAGUUUUCGGGAUAUCCAUUGUUCCAAUUUGGCUAUGCUUGCUAAACAGGCUUGGCGUCUUCUCGAGAAUCCGGAUUCUCUAUGUGCUACUAUUUUGAGAGUCAAAUACUAUCCUGACGGUGACUUGUUGAACACUGACCUGAAGAAGGGAUCUUUCUUCACCUGGCAAAGUAUUAUGGCGGGUGUGAGCUCCCUGAAGCAUGGUCAUAUUUGGAGAGUGGGAAAUGGGCAGAAUAUUGACAUUUGGGAGGACACAUGGAUUCCAAAUUGUGCAAACCGCAAAAUUGUUACCCCUAAGGAGGCCAGUUGUUACGGAAGGUAG
rnacentral:rRNA from 1 species